AUUGAACGCUGGCGGCAGGCCUAACACAUGCAAGUCGAGCGGAUGAAGGGAGCUUGCUCCCGGAUUCAGCGGCGGACGGGUGAGUAAUGCCUAGGAAUCUGCCUGGUAGUGGGGGAUAACGUCCGGAAACGGGCGCUAAUACCGCAUACGUCCUGAGGGAGAAAGUGGGGGAUCUUCGGACCUCACGCUAUCAGAUGAGCCUAGGUCGGAUUAGCUAGUUGGUGGGGUAAAGGCCUACCAAGGCGACGAUCCGUAACUGGUCUGAGAGGAUGAUCAGUCACACUGGAACUGAGACACGGUCCAGACUCCUACGGGAGGCAGCAGUGGGGAAUAUUGGACAAAGGGCGAAAGCCUGAUCCAGCCAUGCCGCGUGUGUGAAGAAGGUCUUCGGAUUGUAAAGCACUUUAAGUUGGGAGGAAGGGCAGUAAGUUAAUACCUUGCUGUUUUGACGUUACCAACAGAAUAAGCACCGGCUAACUUCGUG
rnacentral:rRNA from 1 species